ensembl:lncRNA
CAAAAAUAGCCAAAAAUAAGAUUAGCCCCCUCCUGAUUUUUAACUGCCCCCUCAGUCACUUCGUCCUGCCGCCGGGCCUGGCAUGCACUACAUUAAAAUAGUUUAUCACCGCAAAUAAAAUGUUUAUGUUCUCUAAAUGUGAGGAAGGGUACACUUAGAAAGGUAUUACCUGCUGUUGUUCAUCCCAUUCAUUUUCUUAUAUUCCAUUAAGUUUAAAAUGAUUAGAUUAGUUGUAGAACUAGGUCUUUUUUAUCUGGAUCAAGUCAAGUUGCCCGCAGAAUAUGGAGCCUAAAUAUUUCAGUUUCCUUUAUGUCUUUUAGGUUAACCCAAAAGGGAUUUGGUAACACCAGCAACAUUUCCCAGAAAGCUUUGCUACAAGAAGUUUGUUUUAAUAUCCUCUGGUCUCAAAUUGAUUACAUUGUUUUAUCUUAAAAAGUCAUUCAUUAUCUUUAUUUUCCUAACCUAAUCCAACUUUUAAGUGGUUAGAUUUAUUGCACCCAUUACAGAGCUUGUUUUAAUUGAUGUAGUUUACCUGAUUUUGUUCCUUAAGCAAUUCUUUGCUCAUUCAGUCAUUUUGAGUGUGUGUUGCAGGUGAUAAAAUGUUGCAUUAGUUGGCUACUCUCAGUUGGAAAUACAGUAUUUUUUGGUGCCUUUCAGGACCCGCUCCCUGAUCAUUUGGGGGUUUCUAGAGCAGUCAGCCACUUACAGUUAAAACCCAACAAGCAUGCUUGCUGUGAGUCCCCAUGCAUUUACAUGCACUAAACAGCAUGAAUUAAUUUAUCACACAUUAGAUGUAAGCGUCUCAUUUAUGUUAGUACAACAACCAUGUCUUUGUCAGUGACAAACACACUUAUGGGUGAGUAUCACUCACAUGUAUGUAUAAAGGCAUACUGGGAUAUAUGCAAAUGAGACUGUACAGAAUCAACACUAAUUAAUGAACAUACAAAAUACAGGUUAAACCCAAUUGACUGGUUUACAUUGGGAUAACCGAUAAAAUGGAAGUUUGAAUCAUUACCUUAAUUUCAGGUAGGAUCAGUGUUAAAUUUUUUUAGUGUACAGGUCAUACCUCCACACUCCGAGGCUGCCUAUAACCACUGACUGAAGAACUCAAUAGCUGCUUCUCCAUGAACUGAUACGUGUAGGCCAGCUGUUUGAAGGCCACGUACCAUCCUGUCUAUUAACACGGCCCAGACACCAGAAUGUCAGGAUGGUUAAGUUAGCACUGAAAACCAAGACGGUUCCCUGGACUAACCCAAUGUUUUGACACUUAAGGAUCUUGGGGGUAUUUUAGAAAGCAGGGUUAACAUGCUCUAAGUAGGAACCACAACUCUGGCUUGACUGACUCUGAAUAGGUGGUAAAAAUGAGUUCAGUCAACUCUGAGUUAAGGUAACCCGGACACGAGGAGAUAAAAAGCCUCAUCAAUGGAACGCAGAUAAUGUGAUUCAUCAUGGCAACAGGAGAAAAAGGUCUCGGACCACGUUCUUCUUCCCAGUGGAGUUAGAUAUAUUAAUGAAUACACAUGCAGAAUAUGAGUAUAUAUGCAAGAAAAGCAAUACAGUAUCAGCAGCAAAAGAACGUGAGCUAGCGUGGCAGAGAUGCUGACCAAGACAAUGCAUGAGUAUUAACUGGAAAAACAAAGUCACAUCUCGAGUCUUCCACUACAGUUUUUUUUAUUCGCUUUGGUACUAUUAUCGCAAGUAUGUGGCAAAACCUCACAACUGUUAGUACAAAACUCAAAGCAGAUCAUGAAAAAGUUAUUUUUUCCAAACAUGUAAUCACAUGUUCAAUUGACUAAGUACAACGCACAAAAUUACACAUUCUCUCUUUCACCGCACCUAAUCAGUGUGUCAUCAAGACUUACCUUUCAUAUGAAGUAAUUGUCUUUCACAAUGCAAUGCUCACAAUACUUUUGAUAUGCUUCUCAUCUGAUUUGUGCAAAUACAUUUGACCAACACUUAAUCCAACUGAUCUUAAUGGUUAAUCACUUAACCAUUUGGUAAACCUAUAUAUUUCCAUUUCAGCAAUACAGUAUAUGGAUUUUGAGAACUAUAGAAAUAAAAUAUGUGUUUGUAAGAACAUAUAAAAUAACCACACCUGAUGAAAACUCGUUAUUGCUAAUUGAUUUCAGAUGGGGUAACCACAAUUGGUCAUUAGAUAUAAAAGUGAGGGUCUAAACACUGGCAAUUUCUUUCAACAUGGACCAGGAUAGACAGCAAGGAAUUGGAAGAGCUCGUGGAGGAGGGAUCCGUCAGAGAGGUGGGCAUGGGAUCCGUCAGAGAGGUGGGCAUGGGGCCCAUCAAAGGGUUGGUCAUCGGAGAGGGGGAGGCAGAACUGUUGUCUCUAAUGAAGUCCGGGCCAUCGUCGUUGAUCAUGUGGUGAACCGAGGCCUUACUAUGGCAGAAGCUGCCAGAUUAGUUGAGCCAAAUCUAAAAAGUCAAUUCUAUCAUCCGAACCUUUCGCCAAGAAAACCGGUAAGUGUGGAAGAUGUAUACUAUUACAUUCACAGUAAAUUGUAAUGCAUGUUAGUAACAUGUUACAGUAUUUGUACAGCAUGAUCUAUUGAUAGUAUUCUCUGUUCUAUGCUUAGAAUUAACAGAAAACCCCAUAGUGGUGGUCGUGGCCGUGUGCUGACCCACCAGCAAGAGUUGGCAGUGGUGGAAAUGGUGAGGGCCAGGAAUGAUAUACGGCUGUCAGAAAUAAAGCAGGCAAUUGAGGAGAACAAUGACACCUUUGCCAAUGUGGCAUCCAUCAGCCUACCAACAGUAGCCCGCCUUUUAAAGCGGCACCAGGUAUCAAUGAAACACAUUUACCUGGCGCCUUUUGAGAGAAACAAUGACCGGGUGAAACAACUAAGGGCUGAGUAUGUUCAGAGGGUUAUGGUGCUUGACGCUGAUGUGAACCAUCACAAGUACGUUUUUGUUGAUGAAGCGGGCUUUAACCUUGCCAAAACUCGUCGCCGUGGACGUAACAUUAUCGGCCAACGGGCCACUGUCCAAGUGCCUGGACAACGUGGAGGGAACAUCUCAAUGUGCGCAGCUAUCUCUGAAGAUGGUGUCCUAGGACGUAGGCCAUUACUUGGCUCCUAUAAUGCUACACAUCUUAUUGAGUUUCUCAAUGAAAUUGAGCUGGCCUGUCAAGGUGAAGGGGUCACAUAUGUAAUUGUGUGGGACAAUGUCAGUUUUCACCACGCAGAGGUAGUUCAAGCAUGGUUUCAGACCCAUCCUCGAUUCAUGACCCUCUAC